AUUGAACGCUGGCGGCAUGCCUUACACAUGCAAGUCGAACGGCAGCACGGGGCAACCUGGUGGCGAGUGGCGAACGGGUGAGUAAUGCAUCGGAACGUGCCAUUGAGUGGGGGGAUAACGUAGCGAAAGUUGCGCUAAUACCGCAUAUUCUGUGAGCAGGAAAGCAGGGGACCGCAAGGCCUUGCGCUCUUUGAGCGGCCGAUGUCAGAUUAGCUAGUUGGUGAGGUAACGGCUUACCAAGGCGACGAUCUGUAGCGGGUCUGAGAGGAUGAUCCGCCACACUGGAACUGAGACACGGUCCAGACUCCUACGGGAGGCAGCAGUGGGGAAUUUUGGACAAUGGGCGCAAGCCUGAUCCAGCCAUGCCGCGUGAGUGAAGAAGGCC
rnacentral:rRNA from 1 species